CCUACGGGGGGCAGCAGUGAGGAAUAUUGGUCAAUGGACGAGAGUCUGAACCAGCCAAGUAGCGUGAAGGAUGACUGCCCUAUGGGUUGUAAACUUCUUUUAUAUGGGAAUAAAAUGUUCCACGUGUGGGAUUUUGUAUGUACCAUAUGAAUAAGGAUCGGCUAACUCCGUGCCAGCAGCCGCGGUAAUACGGAGGAUUCGAGCGUUAUCCGGAUUUAUUGGGUUUAAAGGGAGCGUAGGUGGAUUGUUAAGUCAGUUGUGAAAGUUUGCGGCUCAACCGUAAAAUUGCAGUUGAAACUGGCAGUCUUGAGUACAGUAGAGGUGGGCGGAAUUCGUGGUGUAGCGGUGAAAUGCUUAGAUAUCACGAAGAACUCCGAUUGCGAAGGCAGUUCACUGGACUGCAACUGACACUGAGGCUCGAAAGUGUGGGUAUCAAACAGGAUUAGAUACCCUUGUAGUC
rnacentral:rRNA from 1 species